AUUGAACGCUGGCGGCAGGCCUAACACAUGCAAGUCGAGCGGAUGAAGGGAGCUUGCUCCUGGAUUCAGCGGCGGACGGGUGAGUAAUGCCUAAGAAUCUGCCUGGUAGUGGGGGAUAACGUCCGGAAACGGGCGCUAAUACCGCAUACGUCCUGAGGGAGAAAGUGGGGGAUCUUCGGACCUCACGCUAUCAGGUGAGCCUAGGUCGGAUUAGCUAGUUGGUGGGGUAAAGGCCUACCAAGGCGACGAUCCGUAACUGGUCUGAGAGGAUGAUCAGCCACACUGGAACUGAGACACGGUCCAGACUCCUACGGGAGGCAGCAGUGGGGAAUAUUGGACAAUGGGCGAAAGCCUGAUCCAGCCAUGCCGCGUGUGUGAAGAAGGUCUUCGGAUUGUAAAGCACUUUAAGUUGGGAGGAAGGGCAGUAAGUUAAUACCUUGCUGUUUUGACGUUACCAACAGAAUAAGCACCGGCUAACUUCGUG
rnacentral:rRNA from 1 species